rnacentral:piRNA from 1 species
AGAGAUGUAUGCAUGUAUGCAUGUUGUGAA